rnacentral:rRNA from 1 species
UAGGGAAUCUUCGGCAAUGGACGGAAGUCUGACCGAGCAACGCCGCGUGAGUGAAGAAGGUUUUCGGAUCGUAAAGCUCUGUUGUUAGAGAAGAACGUUGGUAGGAGUGGAAAAUCUACCAAGUGACGGUAACUAACCAGAAAGGGACGGCUAACUACGUGCCAUCAGCCGCGGUAAUACGUAGGUCCCGAGCGUUGUCCGGAUUUAUUGGGCGUAAAGCGAGCGCAGGCGGUUCUUUAAGUCUGAAGUUAAAGGCAGUGGCUUAACCAUUGUACGCUUUGGAAACUGGAGGACUUGAGUGCAGAAGGGGAGGGUGGAAUUCCAUGUGUAGCGGUGAAAUGCGUAGAUAUAUGGAGGAACACCGGUGGCGAAAGCGGCUCUCUGGUCUGUAACUGACGCUGAGGCUCGAAAGCGUGGGGAGCAAACAGG